AGUGAACGCUGGCGGUAGGCCUAACACAUGCAAGUCGAACGGCAGCACAGUAAGAGCUUGCUCUUACGGGUGGCGAGUGGCGGACGGGUGAGGAAUACAUCGGAAUCUACUUUUUCGUGGGUGAUAACGUAGGGAAACUUACGCUAAUACCGCAUACGACCUACGGGUGAAAGCAGGGGAUCUUCGGACCUUGCGCGAUUGAAUGAGCCGAUGUCGGAUUAGCUAGUUGGCGAGGUAAAGGCCCACCAAGGCGACGAUCCGUAGCUGGUCUGAGAGGAUGAUCGGCCACACUGGAACUGAGACACGGUCCAGACUCCUACGGGAGGCAGCAGUGGGGAAUAUUGGACAAUGGGCGAAAGCCUGAUCCAGCCAUACCGCGUGGGUGAAGAAGGCCUUCGGGUUGUAAAGCCCUUUUGUUGGGAAAGAAAAGCAGCAGGUUAAUACCCCGCUGUUCUGACGGUACCCAAAGAAUAAGCACCGGCUAACUUCGUG
rnacentral:rRNA from 1 species